CCGUCAUAAGCCCCUUGCCGACCCCAUGGGUGGGGAUGGAGUUCACCUCCUCACCGAGUAUCUCAACAUCGGUGUCUUCUCCACCCUCGGCAUCGAGGCUCGCAGCCCCGCUGGACGUGUCCCAGUCCGAUGACUCCCCAUCGAACGCGUUGGGCUCACUGCCGAGCGGCGACUCGCUAUCAGACAUCUACAAAACAAAGAAAAGGAAGCUAAGGCCCGUGCCACAAAC
rnacentral:lncRNA from 1 species